rnacentral:rRNA from 1 species
AUUGAACGCUGGCGGCAUGCCUUACACAUGCAAGUCGAACGGUAACGGGCCUUCGGGUGCCGACGAGUGGCGAACGGGUGAGUAAUGCAUCGGAACGUACCUUUCAGUGGGGGAUAACGUAGCGAAAGUUACGCUAAUACCGCAUAUUCUGUGAGCAGGAAAGCAGGGGAUCGCAAGACCUUGCGCUGGUUGAGCGGCCGAUGUCAGAUUAGCUAGUUGGUGAGGUAAAGGCUCACCAAGGCGACGAUCGGUAGCGGGUCUGAGAGGAUGAUCAGCCACACUGGAACUGAGACCCGGUCCAGACUCCUACGGGAGGCAGCGGUGGGGAAUUUUGGACAAUGGGGGCAACCCUGAUCCAGCCAUGCCGCGUGAGUGAAGAAGGCCUUCGGGUUGUAAAGCUCUUUCGGUCGGGAAGAAAUCGCAUGGGUUAAUACCCUGUGCGGAUGACGGUACUGGCAUAAGAAGCACCGGCUAACUACGUGCCAGCCGCCGCCGUAAAAC